UACGUAGGGCGCAAGCGUUGUCCGGAAUUAUUGGGCGUAAAGAGCUCGUAGGCGGCUUGUCACGUCGACUGUGAAAACCCGGGGCUCAACUCCGGGCCUGCAGUCGAUACGGGCUGGCUUGAGUGCGGUAGGGGAGACUGGAAUUCCUGGUGUAGCGGUGAAAUGCGCAGAUAUCAGGAGGAACACCGGUGGCGAAGGCGGGGCUCUGGGCCGUAACUGACGCUGAGGAGCGAAAGCGUGGGGAGCGAACAGG
rnacentral:rRNA from 1 species